rnacentral:rRNA from 1 species
ACGAACGCUGGCGGCGUGCCUAAUACAUGCAAGUAGAACGCUGAAGAGAGGAGCUUGCUCUUCUUGGAUGAGUUGCGAACGGGUGAGUAACGCGUAGGUAACCUGCCUUGUAGCGGGGGAUAACUAUUGGAAACGAUAGCUAAUACCGCAUAACAAUGGAUGACACAUGUCAUUUAUUUGAAAGGGGCAAUUGCUCCACUACAAGAUGGACCUGCGUUGUAUUAGCUAGUAGGUGAGGUAACGGCUCACCUAGGCGACGAUACAUAGCCGACCUGAGAGGGUGAUCGGCCACACUGGGACUGAGGCACGGCCCAGACUCCUACGGGAGGCAGCAGUAGGGAAUCUUCGGCAAUGGGGGCAACCCUGACCGAGCAACGCCGCGUGAGUGAAGAAGGUUUUCGGAUCGUAAAGCUCUGUUGUAAGUCAAGAACGAGUGUGAGAGUGGAAAAUUCACACUGUGACGGUAGCUUACCAGAAAGGGACGGCUAACUACGUGCCAGCAGCCGCGGUAAUACGUAGGUCCCGAGCGUUGUCCGGAUUUAUUGGGCGUAAAGCGAGCGCAGGCGGUUUGAUAAGUCUGAAGUUAAAGGCUGUGGCUCAACCAUAGUUCGCUUUGGAAACUGUCAAACUUGAGUGCAGAAGGGGAGAGUGGAAUUCCAUGUGUAGCGGUGAAAUGCGUAGAUAUAUGGAGGAACACCGGUGGCGAAAGCGGCUCUCUGGUCUGUAACUGACGCUGAGGCUCGAAAGCGUGGGGAGCGAACAGGAUUAGAUACCCUGGUAGUCCACGCCGUAAACGAUGAGUGCUAGGUGUUGGAUCCUUUCCGGGAUUCAGUGCCGCAGCUAACGCAUUAAGCACUCCGCCUGGGGAGUACGACCGCAAGGUUGAAACUCAAAGGAAUUGACGGGGGCCCGCACAAGCGGUGGAGCAUGUGGUUUAAUUCGAAGCAACGCGAAGAACCUUACCAGGUCUUGACAUCCCGAUGCUAUUUCUAGAGAUAGAAAGUUACUUCGGUACAUCGGUGACAGGUGGUGCAUGGUUGUCGUCAGCUCGUGUCGUGAGAUGUUGGGUUAAGUCCCGCAACGAGCGCAACCCCUAUUGUUAGUUGCCAUCAUUCAGUUGGGCACUCUAGCGAGACUGCCGGUAAUAAACCGGAGGAAGGUGGGGAUGACGUCAAAUCAUCAUGCCCCUUAUGACCUGGGCUACACACGUGCUACAAUGGUUGGUACAACGAGUUGCGAGUCGGUGACGGCAAGCUAAUCUCUUAAAGCCAAUCUCAGUUCGGAUUGUAGGCUGCAACUCGCCUACAUGAAGUCGGAAUCGCUAGUAAUCGCGGAUCAGCACGCCGCGGUGAAUACGUUCCCGGGCCUUGUACACACCGCCCGUCACACCACGAGAGUUUGUAACACCCGAAGUCGGUGAGGUAACCUUUUGGAGCCAGCCGCCUAAGGUGGGAUAGAUGAUUGGGGUG